rnacentral:rRNA from 1 species
AGUGAACGCUGGCGGUAGGCCUAACACAUGCAAGUCGAACGGCAGCACAGUAAGAGUUUGCUCUUCCGGGUGGCGAGUGGCGGAAGGGUGAGGAAUAUAUCCGAAUCUACUUUUUCGUGGGGGAUCACGUAGGGAAACUUAAGAUAAUAUAGCAUCCGCUCUACGGGUGAAAGCAGGGGAUAUUCGCACCUUGUGCGAUUGAAUGCGCCGAUGUCGGAUUAGCUAGUUGGCGGGGUAAAGGCCCACCAAGGCGACGAUACGUAGCUGGUCUGAGAGGAUGAUCGGCCACACUGGAACUGAGACACGGUCCAGACGCCUACGAGAGGCAGCAGUGGGGAAUAUUAGGCAAUGGGCGCAAGCCUGAUCCAGCCAGACCGCGUGUGUGAAGAAGGCCUUGGGGUUGUAAAGCCCUUUUGUUGGGAAAGAAAAGCAGCAGGUUGAUACCCCGCGGUUCUGACGGUACCCAAAGAAUAAGCACCGGCUAACUUCGUG